UGGUGGAUUGAUUUGUCUGCUUAAUUGCGUUAACGAACGAGACCUCGACCUGCUAAAUAGUUCGACAUAAGCUUGCUUAUGGACGUGACUUCUUAGAGGGACUAUUGCUGUUGAGGCAAUGGAAGUGCGAGGCGAUAACA
rnacentral:rRNA from 1 species